UUGGUUGCAAUAUACUGACAGUGUCACUGUAAGAAAAAUUGUGAGGAGACAUAUGAAACUGAUAGACUCUGAUGCUUGAGUAUGCAGACUUGAUGGCAGACUGCAAAGAUGGUGCUCUUGGCUGUCUUUAAUAGAGGUUGGUUGCAGAGGGUUCCCUGCACAAUCUAUGGGGAACUCCGAAGCUGCUCACAAAAACAAUUGGGAAGAGCAUGUAAAAAACUAAUAAGAGGACUGGAAGAAACAGCAGAGAGGUCAUCUUCCUGGUUUUGGCACCAUCCAGAUCUUUGCUGGAUGUCAGGUCCAUCAAGUGGUAGAUUGGAGAAUGUCAUUGCCCGGCAGGGUCAAAACAUUUUGAGAUGGUUAGAGACAAUAUUUUGGCGAUCUGAAACAAGCACAUUAGAAGCGGAACAUAUUUAUAGAGAUUGGCAUACAUAAGAGUGCCAAGCUGACAGAUAGAUAAAAGAAAUCCAUCUUUUAUCCCAAUGCCAUAAUUGAUGAUCAUUCAUCAUAACUGCCUAAACAGCUACUAGAGAUCCAUUUGUUUUCAAGCAGAAAGAAAUUCUUUGUUAAUAGUAUUUUGUGGAAAACAAUACCAGUUGCAAUGUUUCGUAUGACAUCUCCUAAUAUCCACAGCUUAGU